rnacentral:rRNA from 1 species
UACGUAGGGUGCAAGCGUUAAUCGGAAUUACUGGGCGUAAAGCGUGCGCAGGCGGUUCGGAAGGAAAGAUGUGAAAUCCCAGAGCUUAACUUUGGAACUGCAUUUUUAACUCCCGGGCUAGAGUAUGUCAGAGGGGGGUAGAAUUCCACGUGUAGCAGUGAAAUGCGUAGAGAUGUGGAGGAAUACCGAUGGCGAAGGCAGCCCCCUGGGAUAAUACUGACGCUCAGGCACGAAAGCGUGGGGAGCAAACAGG